GAUGGUUAUUGGUGCACUCUUUGUUACUGCAAUGUCGUACAUGGGUCUCGCAUUUGCUGCAAUAAGAUCUAGUGGGAACCUUGCCUUCGUUGCAUGGUAUGUGAUUGGGGCAGUGGAGGCAAUAUUUAUGGUAUCUAUAUCAAGCUUUUGGGAAGUGCUUAGUUUCAAGGAAACUGCUAUCGUCCAAAGAUUUAAGACCAUGACAUUGAUUAUCCUCGGAAUAGGCUUUGUUGGGAUGGCCAGAGCGGCCACCAGAGUUGCCCAA
rnacentral:sRNA from 1 species